GUUUACUAUAAAAUUCCACCUAAUACAAUGAAAGAGAUAACAUAAGCUUUUCAUCUCCUAGAUUUGAAGCAAUUUUGUUUUUUUCCCUUCAUUUUCAAAUACAGCAAAAUAUUAAGGAUUGACAAAACUGAGUGAUAGGUACAAGUGUUAGUUAUAUUAGUCUCUACACUUCCCCAUGUGCUUAAAAUAUUUCUUAAUUAGAAAAAAAAAAGCUAUUGCAGAAGUCUACACAAGAGCCAUAGCCCAGGGUGCUGUAACUUGAGGAAGAGAGAGUGGCAUUGAAGAGAGGACUUAAGGUGCCACCACCUGGCUUGAGAAGAGAGACGGCCAUGAGGAUAGCAGAAGCGUGGGGAUGGAUGUGGGGGAAAGAGGAGUGAUGGUCUUCUGUCUGGUGUAGCUGGUGAGAAAGAGGGAAGAAUUGAAAACACACAGGGAUGUACUGCCAGUUUGACUAGGAGAAGCCUGGUGACGAGUGAGUGACAGUGAAAGAUAAGUUAGGAGAAUCAGUUUGGGGAGGAAGAAAAUGAACUUAGGUUUGCAUCUUCAUGCAACUGCAAGACAGUUAACCUUAAGAAGCUGCUGAUGAGCAUCUGGAGCUCAAAAGAGAGAUCAGGACUAGGUCACUUGCUGACCCAGAGGAAAGUGGUCAGAAGGGCUCUGAUUUUUAGGGGGAUAGUUUUGUUCAGGUGAUGAGAGAAAGAAGAGGAUUCCAGGAAGGAGUCAGAGAAGCUACCAGAGAGGCAAAGGACAUACGAGUAUUCUACAAUGUACUAGUCAGGGUUAGCUAGCUGCUGUAAUAAAAAAUGUUAACAAGUUUAUUUCUCACUCCCAUCACAUGGAGGUUGGUGAGGAAGCUCUGCUCUGCUCCACGCAUCACUCAGGAACCCAAGUUUCUUCCAGCUAGUGGCUUUCUUGUCCUUUGGAAUCUCAGAGCCCUCCACUGCAUCCUCUAUACCUAUAGUCCUCGUUAGUCAAGAAGCUG
rnacentral:lncRNA from 1 species